CGCGGAGUGGCAGCAGUUGGUAGCUCGCCAGGCUCAUAACCUGGAGGUCAUUGGUUCGAAUCCAAUCUCCGCAA
rnacentral:tRNA from 1 species